rnacentral:rRNA from 1 species
UACGUAGGGUGCAAGCGUUAAUCGGAAUUACUGGGCGUAAAGCGUGCGCAGGCGGUGAUGUAAGACAGUUGUGAAAUCCCCGGGCUCCAACCUGGGAACUGCAUCUGUGACUGCAUCGCUGGAGUACGGUAGAGGGGAUGGAAUUCCGCGUGUAGCAGUGAAAUGCGUAGAUAUGCGGAGGAACACCGAUGGCGAAGGCAAUCCCCUGGACCUGUACUGACGCUCAUGCACGAAAGCGUGGGGAGCAAACAGG